AUUGAACGCUGGCGGCAGGCCUAACACAUGCAAGUCGAACGAGUGGCGGACGGGUGAGUAAUGUCUGGGAAACUGCCUGAUGGAGGGGGAUAACUACUGGAAACGGUAGCUAAUACCGCAUACCAUCGGAUGUGCCCAGAUGGGAUUAGCUAGUGGGUGGGGUAAAGGCUCACCUAGGCGACGAUCCCUAGCUGGUCGGAGAGGAUGACGAGCAAAACGGGAACGGGGACACGGGCCAGACUCCUAGGGGAGGCAGCAGUGGGGAAUAUUGCACAAUGGGCGCAAGCCUGAUGCAGAAAUGCGGCGUGUAUGAAGAAGGCCUUCGGGUUGUAAAGUACUUUCAGCGGGGAGGCGUUACCCGCAGAAGAAGCACCGGCUAACUCCGUGCCAGCAGCCGCGGUAAUUC
rnacentral:rRNA from 1 species